CAGAAAACCACGGUCUCCGACGUGACGGGAUCGGGCUUCUUCGGAGGAUCUGUGGGCAAGAGCUGGGAGGAAACACUGGCAUUAAAACAUCUGGGAGAAGCUGAGGACGCGUGACCUUCAUAUCGAGGCACCAGUCAGUCGCGCCCGCUGUUUACUUUAGUUUCUGGAUGCAGUCAAUGGUCGGCAGGAAGCAUUGGUCCAGAACGAGGGAAUACCUCUGAGGAGAACGAUGGAGAAAGGAGUCAUUCAAACCUGGAAUGACAAAUAGCUGCAGCUCUACGUUUGCCAUCCCACUCCUCCCGCUGCCUCUGUUCUGCCUCCAAACACCCCUGGUUAAUGUCUUUCACUAUUUUUAUUUAAUGUUUCAUUUAAACAUGAAAGCUAUUUGGUUACAUUAUAGAUGCACUAAUGAAGCUUUAAAUGACUACAGACAUGCAAAUAUACAAAUGUAAUAUUUUAUUGUUUAUUUUACUCCUAAUUAUGUUUGGAUUAAAAAUACACUUUUCUUUGAUUU